CCAUAUUUUAGUACAAUAACCAUGUACACAUUUAUUCAGCAAUGACACUUUAACCCGACAAUGCAUUAUCAUGCAUAAAACAUCUUAAACACGAAUUCCACGUAUUUAACUAGUUUUCAGCCGUUCCUUGUAUUUUCACAUAUAUUCGUGAUGAAAUAUUACCCAUGACCUCAACAGAAACUAUUUACAACUCAUUUUGCGCAUAUCUAUGACUAUAACACAAGUUUCAUAGGACAAUCCAUCUUCCUUCAUU
rnacentral:lncRNA from 1 species